UGACCAGACUAGAUGCUCAUUGGCCCCCAGGUCAUUUGAGUCUGACACCCCUGAUCGAGAGCAUUUGGGUUCACUGUGUGUCUGGCCGUCAUCAUGUCCAUCUCCUCCAUAAAUAGAUUGCGUCACUUCCUGCCCCUGGGUGUUUCCCCUCCAGUCUUGAUUGCCUGCCCCGCCCUGAUUGGAUUCACCUGUGUCUCGUUGUCUCCGUCCACCUCAGACAGUCGUGGUCAGAUUGGAGGAUUUCUAGACUGACGAGCCGCUGCUGACUCGGCAAAAGUGUGUGUUUCCGCGCCGCCGCGCUCGCCCGGUGACGACAGGUGAGGCUGGCGCUCGCAGGGCACGGCUGGUUGGCACCGAGGGUCGACUGCGGUGGGAGACGAGGAGGGCGGGCGCCGCUGUUAGCUGGCAUGCGCCAGCCCUUAAUGAGCAAAGUGUUGAUUUGGCGCUGAUCCUAAUAGGAUCAAAGCUGUCAUUUGGCUCCCCCGAUGGCUGACAGGAGGCCAGGCCUGGCACACCACCAAGAAGGAAAAAGAGACGACAUCACUUUCCCAGGCUACGUAAGUACCCGUAGUCAAACAGCUGCCUCUUUUAAAUUCUGCUGCAUAUUCUUGCUCUUUCUCUCACUGUCUCACCUCUCCCCUGUCAGCCCUGUUUUUACAGACUUAUUGUAGACACUC